GGCUGCAGAAAGUACUAGUAAUGAAACUACUAAGCUAACAACUUGAAAUUCAUUGUAUAUCUUUAACAGCCAGACAAAUCGGGGGAUACAAGGAAAAAAACAUUACCAAAAAUAGAGAGAAUGAAACCCGAAGAGAAACCUCCUGCUGCUCCAGAAAGGGUACAAACUUUUCCUACAAAGCAGAAGGAACAUCAGAAAAUGAAAGAAGACCUAGGGAAAGCUCAGGUAAGCAGCAUAGCUUUUUGACAAAAUAAAGCUUCCCUAUAAUUGUCUUUAUCUGUUGGAGAAUUUCA
rnacentral:lncRNA from 11 species